rnacentral:rRNA from 1 species
UACGAAGGGGGCUAGCGUUGCUCGGAAUCACUGGGCGUAAAGGGCGCGUAGGCGGCGUGACAAGUCACUUGUGAAAUCUCCGGGCUUAACUCGGAACGGUCAAGUGAUACUGUCGUGCUAGAGUACAGAAGGGGCAACUGGAAUUCUCGGUGUAGCGGUGAAAUGCGUAGAUAUCGAGAGGAACACCUGCGGCGAAGGCGGCAUCCUGGACCGGCAUUGACGCUGAUGAGCGAAAGCUAGGGGAGCAAACGGG